rnacentral:lncRNA from 1 species
ACAAUUUCCGUUCCAGGGGAAAGGGACUGCAGCUUUAGAGGCACACAACGGAUAGAGCUAAUGAAAAAGGAGAUUGAGCAUAAUCACCUAACGUUGUCUAAAAAUGGUCCAAAAGAUCUGUGGCCAAGUAUAUCCAACUAUGUCCUCCAGCUCUCAUCAUCAGAUGAUCCAGAAUCACCAGUUCUGUUCAUGUAUUUCCUAGACUCCGGUGGCGGAUCCUAUCCUGAAGUUAUUUCAAAUGCUCAAGCAGAAUGGUUCCAGCAUGUAUCCGAGGAGAUCAACCCUGAUUCAAGGUACAGGGGCUAUGGCCUGCCUUGAUUAGUCGUGGUAGAUCCGAAAGAUCUCAUGUAUAACCUACAUGAUAAGUAAAAGUGAUAAACCAAAUGGGGUCCCUAUUGAUCGUAUACACGGGAUGUGAAACAAUGCUGGUCUAAAAUUAUAUGGAACAAACUGGGAAUUUCAUUGAACAUGUGUUUUUUUUCCCUUUUUUAACAGGGUUCCUGAGGUUGUCUUUUGGCAUAUACCAAGCAAAGCUUACAAGAAAGUGGCUCCCAGGUUAAGGAUCCACAAGCCUUGUGUUGGUUCCAUGAACAAAGAAAAAGUUGCUGCUCAAGAAGCUGAAUUGGGUUUCAUGGACAUGCUAGUUAAACGGUCUUCUGUCAAGGUGAGUUCCUGCUCAAGAAACAACGUUCAAUGCUUAAAAUUAACUCAACACUUUCAACCCAUUGUGGAAGUUUGAAAAUUCAGGUAAUGGAGUAACUCCGGAGCAUUGUGUUCUAUAGUCUUUCUUCAAAAGUUGAAGGAAGGUUAUUGAACAAAUAACUUACAGUUCCAACGAGUUUUGACAACCCAAUAAAGAAGUAGGUUUUGAUGGCAGGGGGGCCAGAUAGAGGACGUGCUACCUGUGGAUAAGUUUUGUGGAAGUUGAAGCUCAAAUAAAGUUGUUCAUCUGCUUUAAAGUUUGACAAAGCCAAACGGGGGUCCCUAUUGAUCGUACUUCUUUGGAUUGUGGCAGGCAGUGUUUGCAGGACACAACCAUGGAUUGGACUGGUGCUGCCCCUACAAGAAACUUUGGCUAUGUUAUGCUAGGCAUACUGGUUAUGGUGGCUAUGGAAAUUGGCCGAGAGGAGCUAGAAUUCUGGAGAUUAAUGACCAGCCCUUCUAUAUCAAGUCAUGGAUAAAGAUGGAAGAUGGAGAUGAACACAGCCAAAUUAUCCUGAGUCCUUGACAGGUCACCUCUGCAAUGCCACUGUCUGUCAAUGGAGGGGAAAAAACCUCCUGCUAUCAACCUGUGUGUGAUGGUGGUAAUGCUCUCUUCCCCACCUCUUUAUCAGUAAAAGAAAUUCAACCUAAAUCUAGAUGUGUCCGGGAGUGUGGUUUUAGUUGUUUAAAAUACAAAAAUAAACAAAUAAUAAAACUAGCCAAAAUGGAUGAACGCGUUUAGACAUGGAAAAGGCUUGUCAAGCAUACCAUCCCACACAUGCUAGUGCUCACGUUAGCGUCUCCCAUCGCCGUAUAAGAAUUUCUGGGAAAUGAAAAGGAAUCGCUAGUCAACUAUUUUUUUAUAAAAAUAUAUUAAAAUGGGAUUCAGUUCUAUCAUGCACAAAAGACUAACAUUUGUUUUAAUAUAUUAAUCAUGAAAAAUAAUUUUUUUAUUAUAAAUCUAAGUUGAAGUUGUUUUUCAAAAACCACGUCAAACAUGCUCUAACUUGAGUAUUUGAAUCAAUUUAUAUUCACCUCGAUUAAUUUUACGGGUCCUGAAAUUAAUAAUAUAUAAACUUUUAAUAGUCUAAAAAAAAUUUAAACUCGUAAUAAUUAAAGAGUAAAUAUAAUGACUAACCAAUUAAUCUAUACCGUUAGAUAUCUCUUCUUCUUAUUUUAUGAUAAAAUGGGAAAAUGGGAUUUAUUACCUAAUCAAAAUAACUUUUUGUUGUUGUAAGAUAUGCCUUUACUUUAUUUUAUCGGGAAAGUCCUGUGAAAGAAGAAAUUUCUACCAGUUGUCAUGAAUUACUUUGAGGGAUUGUUCUCAGGAUUCGAAAUAUGGGAUUAUUCCCUCUCCAAGAAUAUCCUAUUGUCUUAUUAAAAUUUAAAAUGUUUCCCUCGUAAGAAUAUUAAAAUUUAAAUUUUCCUGGUACCACUUCCUAUUUUGGUACUCGCUAACAAAUCAUUUCUAGUUCGAGCAUGUUUAGAAAUCUAAUUAUAAUUAUUUUUAAAGUAAUUUUUUAUGUUAAAAUUUAUUAAAAUAAUAUUUUUUUUUAUUUUUUAAAAUUUAUUUUUAAAAUUAGCACAUUAAAAUAAUAAAAAUGAUACAAAAAAAAUUAAAUUUUUUUAAAACACAAGUACUACCCCGUUUCCUACACCUUUUAAAAUUUAAUUCCCACCAUUUAAAUUGAUCUGAUAAAAAUUAAAAUAAUAUAUUUUUAAUAAAAAUAAUUGAUUUCAUGACAUACUGAUUAAUCUAAUGAAUAAUAAUUCAGAUUUUUUUUUCCCCAGUAAAUUCCAGACCUGAUGUAACACGAAAUCUCAAACAUCAAAUUUUAACAAUGGACUAAAUCUCUCUAAUUUUGCAUUAGUUUUCUCAUUCUUAAUGAUUUCAAAUUAUGCUAAGCGAGGGAUGUUUCAGACAUUUAACACCCAAUCCCCACCGAACUAAACACCAAAAAACAGAAGAAAUGCAUAGUUCCUUCGACACCACUACCAGCAACCACCCCCAUCAUCCUUCACAAUAACAGCUCUCCGUUCUCCGAUAAUGAAACGACAUGCAGAUCCUCUAACCGUCUUGUCGUUCUGGUGCCUCCUUAUCCUCUUACUACCAAUCCUGACCGUCGGAUUUGCUGAUCGUCUACAAGCAUCCGACCCACCUCUCAGUCUGCUCAAAACGGCGCUGCAACAAGAACAAAAACCAGAGGGGAUAAAGAGCCUUCGGGUACGGGAGGGGGCACCGUUUAAGAUCGCGCUCUUUGCUGACUUGCAUUUUGGAGAGAACGCGUGGGACUGAUUGGGGCCCACAACAGGACGUUAAUUCCAUCAAGGUCAUGUCCUCUGUUCUCGACGAUGAAUCACCAGGUGAUGAUAUAAUCCUCUUCCUCUCUAAAGUAGAUUUUUUUUUUUUACUUAUACUCUUUUCAAAUGUGGCUAGCAUAGCUUUUAAAUUCAGCCGUCCAUUGAUUAACUUGAUACUCCAUCAGUUUAGAUAGUGAUUGUUCAGUAAUUUAGUGUAAUGUGUUUUUUUAUUUAUAAAUGAAUUAAUUUUUUUAUAUUGGUAUGUUAAAAUAUAUUAAUUUGAUAUAUUUUUUUAUAAAAAAAUAUUUUUAAAAUGCAAUCCAAUAUAAUUAGAAAUAUAAUAUCUAACAAACACUAAAUCCAAACGAGAUUUAAUAGGGUAAAUUUUAAUUUAAAUUAUUUUAAAUUAUUAAUAUAUUAUUAUUUGAUAAUGAGUGUUUAGUAUUCGUAUAAUGUAUUUUUUAAAAUAAAUCAAAUUUUUUUUUUUUUUUAAUAUCAACAUAUUAAAAUUAUUAAAAAAAUAUUAAUUUAAUAUCUUUUAAAAUAAAUAAAUUUUUAAAAUGCAAUUAAAUACAUGUAAAAUUGCAACAUCAAACAAGCAAUAAAUAGGGUAAAUUUUAAUUUAAAUCAUUUUGAGAUUACCAUGUCAGCGGAUUCUUAGCCGGGUUGGAUCCUAGGCCGGGUAUAAAGACAAUUGUAAGCAUGCAUUGUUGCUUAAUAAUAAUAAUAAUAAUCUCAAAGAGUCAAAAUAAUCGAUUUAGCGUGGCGGCGGCGGCGGUCCAACAUUUGAUAUACACUCGGUGUGUUAUAAAUCCCACUUUUUUCCAUGUUAUGAUCUUGCCUAGAAUUAAAUAAAUUUUUUUUCUUGAAUAUAAUGGUUGGCAUAACUUGUAUAAGAGUCAAUCAGAAUUACCACACAAAUAGGCUAAUUAAUUUAGUAAUUUUCUUGUCACAAUGUAAUUAAUACGUUCUAUUUUUUCUUAAAUUUGAAUUACAGUUAAUAUAAUACGAGUAUUUAGCAGAUUUUGUGAUAUAUCUUGGGGAUGUAAUAACGGCAAACAACAUACCAAUUGCAAACGCAAGCUUGUAUUGGGAUAAAGCAAUAUCUCCAACGAGGGCAAGGGGCAUACUGUGGGCUAGUGUCUUUGGUAAUCACGAUGAUGCACCAUUUGAGUGGCCAAUGGAGUGGUUUUCUUCUCCUGGAAUUCCUCCUGUUCAUUGCCCUGCACCUAACGCGUCAUCAUGCUCAGGUAAGACUGUAGAGCUUUAACCUCCGAGCUAUGGAAAUGGAAUAAUUAAUAAUUUCUUGAUAGCCCAUUAAUCCUGUUUUUUUACUUGGUAGUUCCUGUUUCCCAAGAUUAUUGCUUUUUCCUUUUCCUUUUGAGCUAGUGUAUGGCAAUGGGCUAGCAUGUUUGUUGCUGCUUCUUUUUAGCGAGAUUGAUGUAGCUUUUCUUACUUAGGGUUACAAUUUCCGUUCCAGGGGAAAGGGACUGCAGCUUUAGAGGCACACAACGGAUAGAGCUAAUGAAAGGAGAAAGGAGAUUGAGCAUAAUCACCUAACGUUGUCUAAAAAUGGUCCAAAAGAUCUGUGGCCAAGUAUAUCCAACUAUGUCCUCCAGCUCUCAUCAUCAGAUGAUCCAGAAUCACCAGUUCUGUUCAUGUAUUUCCUAGACUCCGGUGGCGGAUCCUAUCC